AUUGAACGCUGGCGGCAGGCCUAACACAUGCAAGUCGGACGGUAGCACAGAGAGCUUGCUCUUGGGUGACGAGUGGCGGACGGGUGAGUAAUGUCUGGGGAUCUGCCCGAUAGAGGGGGAUAACCACUGGAAACGGUGGCUAAUACCGCAUAACGUCGCAAGACCAAAGAGGGGGACCUUCGGGCCUCUCACUAUCGGAUGAACCCAGAUGGGAUUAGCUAGUAGGCGGGGUAAUGGCCCACCUAGGCGACGAUCCCUAGCUGGUCUGAGAGGAUGACCAGCAACACUGGAACUGAGACACGGUCCAGACUCCUACGGGAGGCAGCAGUGGGGAAUAUUGCACAAUGGGCGCAAGCCUGAUGCAGCCAUGCCGCGUGUAUGAAGAAGGCCUUCGGGUUGUAAAGUACUUUCAGCGGGGAGGAAGGCGGUGAGGUUAAUAACCUUGCCGAUUGACGUUACCCGCAGAAGAAGCACCGGCUAACUCCGUGCCAGCCGCCGCCGUAAAAC
rnacentral:rRNA from 1 species